AUUGAACGCUGGCGGCAGGCCUAACACAUGCAAGUCGAACGGUAACAGGAAGAAGCUUGCUUCUUUGCUGACGAGUGGCGGACGGGUGAGUAAUGUCUGGGAAACUGCCUGAUGGAGGGGGAUAACUACUGGAAACGGUAGCUAAUACCGCAUAACGUCGCAAGACCAAAGAGGGGGACCUUCGGGCCUCUUGCCAUCGGAUGUGCCCAGAUGGGAUUAGCUUGUUGGUGGGGUAACGGCUCACCAAGGCGACGAUCCCUAGCUGGUCUGAGAGGAUGACCAGCCACACUGGAACUGAGACACGGUCCAGACUCCUACGGGAGGCAGCAGUGGGGAAUAUUGCACAAUGGGCGCAAGCCUGAUGCAGCCAUGCCGCGUGUAUGAAGAAGGCCUUCGGGUUGUAAAGUACUUUCAGCGGGGAGGAAGGGAGUAAAGUUAAUACCUUUGCUCAUUGACGUUACCCGCAGAAUAAGCACCGGCUAACUCCGUGCCAGCAGCCGCGGUAAUACGGAGGGUGCAAGCGUUAAUCGGAAUUACUGGGCGUAAAGCGCACGCAGGCGGUUUGUUAAGUCAGAUGUGAAAUCCCCGGGCUCAACCUAGAAACUGCAUCUGAUACUGGCAAGCUUGAGUCUCGUAGAGGGGGGUAGAAUUCCAGGUGUAGCGGUGAAAUGCGUAGAGAUCUGGAGGAAUACCGGUGGCGAAGGCGGCCCCCUGGACGAAGACUGACGCUCAGGUGCGAAAGCGUGGGGAGCAAACAGGAUUAGAUACCCUGGUAGUCCACGCCGUAAACGAUGUCGACUUGGAGGUUGUGCCCUUGAGGCGUGGCUUCCGGAGCUAACGCGUUAAGUCGACCGCCUGGGGAGUACGGCCGCAAGGUUAAAACUCAAAUGAAUUGACGGGGGCCCGCACAAGCGGUGGAGCAUGUGGUUUAAUUCGAUGCAACGCGAAGAACCUUACCUGGUCUUGACAUCCACGGAAGUUUUCAGAGAUGAGAAUGUGCCUUCGGGAACCGUGAGACAGGUGCUGCAUGGCUGUCGUCAGCUCGUGUUGUGAAAUGUUGGGUUAAGUCCCGCAACGAGCGCAACCCUUAUCCUUUGUUGCCAGCGGUCCGGCCGGGAACUCAAAGGAGACUGCCAGUGAUAAACUGGAGGAAGGUGGGGAUGACGUCAAGUCAUCAUGGCCCUUACGACCAGGGCUACACACGUGCUACAAUGGCGCAUACAAAGAGAAGCGACCUCGCGAGAGCAAGCGGACCUCAUAAAGUGCGUCGUAGUCCGGAUUGGAGUCUGCAACUCGACUCCAUGAAGUCGGAAUCGCUAGUAAUCGUGGAUCAGAAUGCCACGGUGAAUACGUUCCCGGGCCU
rnacentral:rRNA from 1 species